CCCCGCACCUGUAGCAGCUCCUGCGCGUUGGCCACGGCAAUCUGGACCUUCACCUGCUCCAUGAUGGCACCCGGAUCCAGUUUCCCGCCGCCGGAGCCCCCGAAAUCGGAACUGAAGCCACUUUCCAUGGCUCCGCGAGGUCAAUCCGGCUGCAGACCAAGCACGCCGAACCCUCCGCCCUCAGGAAUCGGGACGAGAACCACUGUGGGUACCGGAGAGACUGACACGGGCGACAAAGCCCUCGACUGAAGAUCAGACCUGCCCUACCGGAGAUCCAUCACAGACCAACCAACAAGAUGAAUAGAAAUAGCGGUAGCCCGAAAUGGACAAGAAGAUCCUCAGGCAUAUGCAUGGCUCGCUCGCCUAGCCUACGACCGAGUCUAGGGGUGGUGAGCUUCCCACACUCCUCCUCUAAAAAAUUAUGACAUAGCUGGGUAGGAGAGUCAAUGACGGGUAAGAGCGUACUCCCCCGGUGCGACUCAACCUAAGCCAGGCCCUACCCCAUCCUGCACGUAAGCCGCUGGACUGUUAGAUGCUGCCCAGGUCUAAAUUUCUCUCCGAGGGGAUUUCUUUACGGAGAGAAAAUGAGUGCAAGCUUGUGUGCAUCCAGGUUCCGUCCAGUUUGUGCCUGGCCCUAGAAAAAGGACGAGGGCCUCAGGGCCUUGGCGGACCAUGGGACGGCCGACCAGGGUCUAAGCCAAGGACCUACGGUGGGCCUACACAUAGGGCAUAAGCCUCUGCACCCAGUCCAGGAAGGGCUACGAUGCGCACAUUCAUAAAAAAUAAAAAAGGGGGAGAUGUUGGGAGCCGCAGCCCCGAGCCCGGUCGCCUCACUUGGCGGACGUGAGGCCUGUAGUAAAGAGUAAAGCCUGAGGUAGAUUACCCCUCCCAUCGAGCACGUUAGUUUCCUGCUUACCGCGUAAGCAACCCGCUCAACAAUAUAGUCUGCCUGGCAACUGAUGAUGUUAGCCAAUCAGCUUGCCUUGCUUACUUUAACAUGAUUGGACACUGUAUCCGUAUAUAUACUGGUGCCACCCCUGGGGGGGAAGAAGAAGCCCGGAAGUAGAAGCCCAAAAGGAGCCGCGGGGAGCGGACCAAAGGAGGCUUCGGCUGGGAGCGAUCCCAGGGCAGGCUGUACGGAGAAGAAAAAUAAAAGAAAAGGUUGUCCACUGCCA